rnacentral:rRNA from 1 species
UACGUAGGGGGCAAGCGUUGUCCGGAUUUAUUGGGCGUAAAGAGCGUGUAGACGGCCUGAAAGGUCAGCUGUGAAAACUCGAGGCUCAACCUCGAGACGUCGGUUGAAACCAUCUGGCUAGAGUCCGGAAGAGGAGAGUGGAAUUCCCGGUGUAGCGGUGAAAUGCGCAGAUAUCAGGAGGAACACCGGUGGCGAAGGCGGGUCUCUGGGCCGAUAUUGACGCUGGAGGAGCGAAAGCGUGGGGAGCGAACAGG